rnacentral:rRNA from 1 species
CCUACGGGUGGCAGCAGUGGGGAAUAUUGCACAAUGGGGGAAAGCCUGAUGCAGCGACGCAGCGUGAGUGAAGAAGAAUUUCGGUACGGAAAGCUCUAUCAGCAGGGAAGAAAAUGACGGUACCUGAGUAAGAAGCUCCGGCUAACUACGUGCCAGCAGACGCGGCAAUACGUAGGGGGCAAGAGUUAGACGGAUUUACUGGGUGUAAAGGGAGCGUAGACGGCAGCGCAAGUCUGAAGUGAAAUCCCGUGGCUCAACCGUAGAACUGCUUUGGAAACUGGGAGUCUGGAGUACAGGAGAGGUAAGCGGAAUUCCUGGUGUAGCGGUGAAAUGCGUAGAUAUCAGGAGGAACACCAGUGGCGAAGGCGGCUUACUGGACUGUAACUGACGUUGAGGCUCGAAAGCGUGGGGAGCAAACAGGAUUAGAUACCCCUGUAGUC